rnacentral:lncRNA from 1 species
AUAGUAAACAGACAUAAAUAACAUAAACCUUACGCCAGUCAAUACGCCGGUACCAUUGAUUAUAAACCACCCACUAGAUAGCUCACCUCUUGGUAACCGAAAGACGUAUCAACAACUAGAUGGCGCUACUCGAAAACCGUAUCGAGAUUUCUCAUUCUCUUUCUGACUUGUGAGGAGGUAGGAGUAGUGUCAGGGCCGAACUUACCCUAUAGGUGUAUUAUCUGUGACAAGUGUUGUGGCAAAGUUAUAGCGGAAUUAAAAAAAAAAGGACACACAUUUUAGAUAAAAUGGCCUCUGUAACGCAUAAGUGUGUUUACGCGGGAUGGGUUUACGAAAGAAACGAUGGAACAAAUAAUAAUAUAUCUUUCUUUAAAUUUCCCCUGAAAGACGUAGAGCGCGCAAGACGCGUUAGUAUCACUCCAGAAAUAACGGAGAUGCUUGUUUGCUUUAAUUAAAAUUACACAUACAUUUCAAUGAUUACCUACUUUAGGUGAUACCCCACCAGUAUUAUGCUCUAUAUACGUUUAUUGAGGUACGAAACGUAAAAGAUCUACAAGUGGCGAUUGUAUGGUUAGGUCAACUCCAUCGCCUAAGAGAUCAAGUAUAGUCUCAGUGAUAUUUCCAGUUUUGAUAUUAAUUUGCCCACAAAACUUGAAACUGAAUUGACGGAGAAGG